GAUGAAGAACGUAGCGAAAUGCGAUAAGUAAUGUGAAUUGCAGAAUUCAGUGAAUCAUCGAAUCUUUGAACGCACAUUGCGCCCGCCAGCACUCUGGCGGGCAUGCCUGUUCGAGCGUCAUUUCAACCAUCAAGCCCCCAGGGGCUUGUGCUGGGGCCCUGCGGCUGCCCGCAGGCCCUGAAAACCAGUGGCGGGCUCGCUAGUCACACCGAGCGCAGUAGCACAUCUCGCUCAGGGCGUGCGGCGGGCUCCUGCCGUGAAACCCCCCACUGUAACCCCAAAGGUUGACAUCGGAUCAGGUAGGAAUACCCGCUGAACUUAAGCAUAUCAAUAAGCGGAGGA
rnacentral:misc_RNA from 1 species